CAUUAAUGCUUUCGAAAUCUCUCUCGGUACUCAUGAAGAAAUUUGCCUCACAAGACAAAAUACGACUGAGGAGAAAUGUGCUCUUAAGCCAGACCUCAUGGAAACAGAAGUUUUCUAUCAGAAAUGAAAAAUGAGAUCACAAAAUUGAAAGACGAAGUAAUCCAAAUAAACGAAAAACUGAACAAAACGGCAAUUUGUAAAG